rnacentral:rRNA from 1 species
AGCAGUCGCCGCGGUAAUACGUAGGUGGCAAGCGUUGUCCGGAAUUAUUGGGCGUAAAGGGCUCGCAGGCGGUUUCUUAAGUCUGAUGUGAAAGCCCCCGGCUCAACCGGGGAGGGUCAUUGGAAACUGGGAAACUUGAGUACAGAAGAGGAGAGUGGAAUUCCACGUGUAGCGGUGAAAUGCGUAGAGAUGUGGAGGAACACCAGUGGCGAAGGCGACUCUCUGGUCUGUAACUGACGCUGAGGUGCGAAAGCGUGGGGAGCAAACAGGAUUAGAUACCCCUGUAGUCCCUGUCUCUUAUAC